ensembl:snRNA U2 U2 spliceosomal RNA
AUAGCUUUUAGGCCUUUUAGCUAAUGUCAAGUGUUCUAUCUAUUCUUAUCAGCGUAAUUAUCUGACACGUCCUCUAUCCUAGAACAAUAUAUUAAAUGGAUUUUUGGAACUAGGAGCUAGAAUAGGACCUUGCUCCAUCCACUUCACUUCUAUUUCUUUGAUUAGCGAAGUUAAAUAUUAUUU